rnacentral:rRNA from 1 species
AUUGAACGCUGGCGGAAUGCUUUACACAUGCAAGUCGAACGGCAGCACGGGGCAACCUGGUGGCGAGUGGCGAACGGGUGAGUAAUACAUCGGAACGUGCCCAAUCGUGGGGGAUAACGUAGCGAAAGUUACGCUAAUACCGCAUACGAUCUACGGAUGAAAGCGGGGGAUCGCAAGACCUCGCGCGAGUGGAGCGGCCGAUGUCAGAUUAGGUAGUUGGUGGGGUAAAGGCUCACCAAGCCAACGAUCUGUAGCUGGUCUGAGAGGACGACCAGCCACACUGGAACUGAGACACGGUCCAGACUCCUACGGGAGGCAGCAGUGGGGAAUUUUGGACAAUGGGCGCAAGCCUGAUCCAGCCAUUCCGCGUGCAGGAUGAAGGCCUUCGGGUUGUAAACUGCUUUUGUACGGAACGAAACGGUCUGCCCUAAUACGGCGGGCUAAUGACGGUACCGUAAGAAUAAGCACCGGCUAACUACGUG